CUCAGAAUCAAAAGUGGGUAGUUUGCUGGGAUAUUAGCUGUUUGGGAGAUGGGGUUGUUAGACAGUGGAGACAAAAAGAAUGUUGUACGAAUCAUAGUUAUCAAUCCCGGAUAGCGACGCGUUGCUACCGGCAGGUUGUGACGCGUUGCUACCGGCAGGUUGUUUGUGUAUAGAGUGAAGAUUGAAGUGCAUCCACCAUCAUGACCACCUGGAUCUAGUGGUGUACUGGUAUAAGAGCAGAGAUGGGGACUCUGAGAAUUUCCCCAGAGUGAAAUUUAAAUGUUUAAAUAUAAUUGCACCCUUUUGUCAAGUAAUCGAAGUGUAAACUGUAAAAUGCAUGUGAAUUCUGAUGGAGUAUACGCAUUGCUCAGCCUGCUGAGCUAGUAGAGGCUGUUAGGAUUGGUUAGAAUAGUUAGUAGUUACCAAUAUAUUUAGAUGGUUACAUUGCAGUGAAAGGUUGCUGCUCAUGGAAAACAUAAAUAUUGAACUCUGUUCGAUUCAGUAUUACAAUUCAAUCCCUCAAUCUUUUGCUCUUACUCUUAUGGUUUUUUUCAUUUACCUUAUUCUCGAAUGAUUUCCAUGUGUUCAAAUAAUUUUUAUUCAAGGAGAUAUAUGUGUAAGGGACUACUGGAACAUAACAGAUGAUUCAUCAAAAGAAAUUCUACUCGGUUGGUUCAAGAUGAAAGUUUAAAAUCCUGGCCUCUGAUUUGAAAGAUACGCUACAUUUUCCUCAAGAUGCAGCCUUAAUCUCUUGCUGGCUGAAAUUCAUAGCAGCUUUGUACAUAAGGUGGCUUCAACUUCAAGGCUACCCAGUGGUGUAUCUGUUUGGCAAGGAGCAUAUUGUUGAUAUUUUCCAAGUGUCUAUCUGCAGUGUUUGAAGAGCCUUUUAGGACAGCAGCCACAAUGCUCGUAAAGAGGAGGACUUAUUUCCUUGAGAUGAACUCCUUCUGAUGCUCUGUGGUUGGUUGGGUCAAUAGGUAGGUAAAUUUCUUUGCAAUUGUUGCUGCAAUUUUUUUCUGGUUCAUACUUCAGCUGUUGUACUUAUUAUAUAAAUGAAAUUGCAUUCUUUUUAUUUCUGUGCUAAUGUACUCAAACACUUACGGGUGAAUGUUACUAACAUG